GCGUUGGUGGUUUAGUGGUAAAAUUCAUCGUUGCCAGCCGUUGCCGGUCCGCCAGGAGUCGCCUCCUCCCAGGAGCCCUCCCAGGACCUCAACACCACGUCUCGAUGAGCCCCGGGUUCGAUUCCCGGCCGACGCA
rnacentral:tRNA from 1 species